rnacentral:rRNA from 1 species
CGUAUCACCCAAGACAACUUUACGGAGUUGACGAUUGACGGAGCGAAGCGACGUCAAAGCGUUCAUUAAAGUCGAGUUGGCUUAGGGAUACGUUCGUUGGGUAGGGGAGCGUUCUGUAAGCCUGUGAAGGUGUGUCGUGAGGCAUGCUGGAGGUAUCAGAAGUGCGAAUGCUGACAUAAGUAACGAUAAAGCGGGUGAAAAGCCCGCUCGCCGGAAGACCAAGGGUUCCUGUCCAACGUUAAUCGGGGCAGGGUGAGUCGACCCCUAAGGCGAGGCCGAAAGGCGUAGUCGAUGGGAAACGGGUUAAUAUUCCCGUACUUGGUGUUACUGCGAAGGGGGGACGGAGAAGGCUAUGUUGGCCGGGCGACGGUUGUCCCGGUUUAAGCGUGUAGGUGUGUGUUCCAGGUAAAUCCGGUUCACUUUAACACUGAGGCGUGACGACGAGGCACUACGGUGCUGAAGCAACAAAUGCCCUGCUUCCAGGAAAAGCCUCUAAGCAUCAGGUAACACGAAAUCGUACCCCAAACCGACACAGGUGGUCAGGUAGAGAAUACCAAGGCGCUUGA